GUCGGUUGCAUGUGACAUGCUAAAUCCAGCUAUUGAAAUUAAAAUAAAAUGAGCAAUAACGGAGGGCCGGCAGUAAAAUGUGGUUACUGUGGCUGGCUCAUGUUCGGGUCUUGUACAGAGAUUCAAGCCCAUUAAUGUUUUAAAAACUAUGAUGAAAAUAUUCAUGUCCUCUCUAUUGACAAGACAGGACGUGCUACAAUAAGAAUCAAAGAUACAAAUGAAAAUAUGCAGAGCGAUGUUCCACCAUCGGAGAGUAACGAAUGUAUUAUGUCAGUUGACACCA